rnacentral:rRNA from 1 species
GAUGAACGCUGGCGGCGUGCCUAAUACAUGCAAGUCGAACGCUUCACUUCGGUGAAGAGUGGCGAACAGGUGAGUAAUACAUAAGUAACCUGGCAUCUACAGGGGGAUAACUGAUGGAAACGUCAGCUAAGACCGCAUAGGUGUAGAGAUCGCAUGAACUCUAUAUGAAAAGUGCUACGGGACUGGUAGAUGAUGGACUUAUGGCGCAUUAGCUUGUUGGUAGGGUAACGGCCUACCAAGGCGACGAUGCGUAGCCGACCUGAGAGGGUGACCGGCCACACUGGGACUGAGACACGGCCCAGACUCCUACGGGAGGCAGCAGUAGGGAAUUUUCGGCAAUGGGGGAAACCCUGACCGAGCAACGCCGCGUGAAGGAAGAAGUAAUUCGUUAUGUAAACUUCUGUCAUAGAGGAAGAACGGUGGAUAUAGGGAAUGAUAUCCAAGUGACGGUACUCUAUAAGAAAGCCACGGCUAACUACGUG